rnacentral:rRNA from 1 species
GGAAAGUUGCAAAGAACUUUGAAGAGAGAGUUCAAGAGAACGUGAAAUCGCUGAAGUGGAACCGGAGAGAGUUAACAUAACUUGGUAGCUAUAUCCUCUAUGGUCGCUUAACUGUGGCUUUGGGGGGUGGACGCUACCUGUUGUUGCACUGACUGCGUUGAUCAUGCUUUCCGAACAAUGUAGUGUUGCCCACAUUGUGGUGUCUUGCUUAUUGGAAGGUUUGUCAUGGUUAACGUUAAGCCUUAGUCCCGAGGGAGUCAGUGUGAAAGUUAACCACCUUUCCGACCCGUCUUGAAACACGGACCGAGGAGUGUAAUUUAUACGCGAGUCAAAGGGAGUGGUAUACCCUAUGGCUUAAUGAAAGUAAAGGCCGGUUAACCGGUUGACAUGGGAUCCGAAUGAACUUCUUCGAAACGGAGCACCAUGGCCCUGUCUUGUCUGCUUGCAGAUGGGCAGCGGUAGAGCGUGUAGGUUGCGACCCGAAAGAUGGUGAACUAUGCUUGAGCAGGACGAAGCCAGAGGAAACUCUGGUGGAAGUCCGUAUCGGUUCUGACGUGCAAAUCGAUCGAU